UACGUAGGGUGCGAGCGUUGUCCGGAAUUAUUGGGCGUAAAGGGCUCGUAGGCGGUUUGUCACGUCGGGAGUGAAAACUCAGGGCUUAACCCUGAGCCUGCUUCCGAUACGGGCAGACUAGAGUACUGCAGGGGAGACUGGAAUUCCUGGUGUAGCGGUGGAAUGCGCAGAUAUCAGGAGGAACACCGGUGGCGAAGGCGGGUCUCUGGGCAGUAACUGACGCUGAGGAGCGAAAGCGUGGGGAGCGAACAGG
rnacentral:rRNA from 1 species